GAUAGCUCAGUCGGUUAGAACAUGGUGCUGAUAACACCAAGGUUGCAGGUUCGAUCCCUGUGAGCGUGCA